ensembl:lncRNA
UUUUGUCUGCCCAAGCUAAGUUGUCUGUUUGGUUGACAAGGAGGAACCGGGUCAGGGGGUUUCAGGUCCGAUUGUGAUUGGGGUUUGAGGUAUGGUGAGCCGCUCGGGAUUGGCUGGCGGAGGUUAUGGCCACGCCCAUAUCAUUUGCAGCAACACACAGCACCUGGGAAGGAAACAGGAAAGACAGGGACAGCACAAAACACAACAGAAGACGUAACACCACAGUCCUCUCUCUGCCAAUAGAUGAUACCACAGUCCUCUCUGUGUCAAUAGUUGUUACUGCAAACAUACAAGCUGAAACAAUAUUGAACAAAGAGAGAGGCAACAGGGAAUCUAUAUAGAUGUGGUGAGACAAUAGGGAACAGGUGUGCGUAAUAGAACAAGACAGUACAGGGAAGUGUUAAAAUGCAGCAGGGAAACUAGACGAUGACUGCUAGAAAGCUGUCGAAGCAGAACGAUAUGACUGUGAUGUGAACUGGGAUACGUGGUCAUAAGCGGAUCUGUGACACAUACUUUGCAUUUAACACACCUGUACUUUCACUUUUGUUUCGGUUCAACUCCCGUGUGAUUGGCUGUCUUCUACAUAAAGGAGAAACGGCACUCACAUAAGCUACAUUUUAUCUUUCGAACCGAACAUUUAUGUUUACUACCAAUUUGGAACCUAUUUUAUCCUUUGUUCACAGGUACCCACACUAAAUUAACAUUUAAACCAUGGAAUUUCUGGAGUCAACAAAGACGGACCUGUGCCAGUGGUUAUCAACAGAUGCUCAGUAUAUCAUUGACAAGUGUCAAGAUAUUUUAUCUGUUAAACAAGGAAAGGCUGUGUGCAACCAAGACACUGAUGAAAAGAAGAUCAGCAUGCUGUUGAAAUUUAUCAUGGAAAGGGGAGAGGAAACAUGUGAGGAGUUCCUUGAGAUUCUGAAGAAUGAGCAGAAGCAUUACCCGAGCCUUCAACAGCAUUUCAGCAACAGCAUGCACGGUCCAACAGUAUAUGCGGAUUGCAACAGCAUCGUUGACACCCGACAAGUCACCAACGUCCAUGUUAAAAAAGACUUAAACAUGGAUGCAACUGUUCAAGCAGGAGAGAUGAAUCCAUCUGGAUUCAACCACAGCCAACCACCCCCACGUGCAAAUAUGUUUGCAACCAAUAACAGUAAUAUAAUUUCACCAGGAAUAUCAAACUGUAAAGUUUAUGGAGACUUCAAUAUGUCUUUAGGACAGGCCCCACCCUCAAAUGGCCCAACAUUCCAGGUAUGCCACUGCCUCUACCCGUGGGGGAGUCUGGGGAGGAGCUUCUGCCUCCAACCGCGGAAGGUUUCGGAGGAGUUUCUGCCUCUGCCCGCGGAGGGGUUCAGCGAUGUCACCGGUGCCGUGCCGGCUGUUUCGUUACGUUCUUAUGUUAUAUUCAUUUUAGUUCUAAUUUGUCUGUUUCUAUGUUCUGUUUGGUUUCCCCUGUGCCUCGCCUAACCCUGCGGAGGGGUACGGCGAGGAGCUUCUGCCUCUGCCCGCGGAGGGGUUCUGCGAGGAGUGUCUGUCUCGGCCCUCUGAGGUGUUUGGCGAGGAGCUUCUGCCUCCGCCCAUGGAGGUGUCCGGGGAGGAGCUUCUCAUCAGGAAUAUCAAACUGUAAAGUUGAUGGCGACGUCAAUAUGUCUUUGAGGCAGGCCCCACUUGUCCAGGUAAGCUUCUGCCUCUGUCUUGGCCCGCGAAGGUGUCCGGCGAGGAGCCCACGGAGGUGUUCAGCGAGGAGCUUCUGCCUCCACCUGCAGAGGUGUCCGGCGAGGAGCCCAUGGAGGGGUUCAGCGAGGAUCUUCUGCCUCUGCCUGCGGAGGUGUCCAGCGAGGAGUCAACGGAGGGGUUCAGCGAGGAUCUUCUGCCUCCACCUGCGGAGGUGUCCCGCGAGGAGUCCACGGAGGGGUUCAGCGAGGAUCUUCUGCCUCCACCUGCAGAGGUGUCCGGCGAGGAGCCCACGGAGGGGUUCAGCGAGGAUCUUCUGCCUCCGCCUGCGGAGGUGUCCAGCGAGGAGUCCACGGAGGGGUUCAGCGAGGAUCUUCUGCCUCCACCUGCAGAGGUGUCCGGCGAGGAGCCCACGGAGGGGUUCAGCGAGGAUCUUCUGCCUCCGCCUGCGGAGGUGUCCAGCGAGGAGCCCACAGAGGGGUUCAGCGAGGAUCUUCUGCCUCCAUCUGUGGAGGGGUUCGGCCAGGAGCUUCUGCCUCCGCCUGCAGAGGUGUCCGAGGAGGAUCUAGAUUUAGCGACUUUUCAGACCCCCUUAGCAACUUUUUGUGGUGUUAUUGGAGACUUGUUCUUACUCUUCUCAGCGAGCAGCGGGUGCCGCCGUGGGCCCCUCCCCUAUCUGAAAGCACUCACAGGUGGCCCAGUCCUCGCACAGCUGUUCCUCUGAGCUGCAGUCAGAGCAGGAGAUGUUAACUCCUCCGCGUCCAGACUGAAAAUGAAUCGCGCAUGCGGGAAGCCCCCGCUGGCUUUUCCUGGCCGUAAUGUAAAAUUUAAAUGUUCUUUGUCUAAAAUAAAUCAUUGCUGAUGGGAAAUUAUGCAAAUUAGGCAAUGACGUCAUUUUGCGACUUCUAGCGACUUUUAGGACAGCCAAUAGCGACUUGCCUUACUGAGGAUUUGGCAACAAUGUGCGGAGGGGUUCGGCGAGGAGCUUCUGCCUCCGCUUGCGGAGGGUUCCCGUGGAAUGCACAAUGGAAUGCAAGAUAGCCUUAUCAUAAAAGCUGAAGGCACAGACGUGUCAAUCAUGCUUUUGAAUUUUAAAUAAACAUUAUUGUAACAGAAUGUCAUUUUUUCUUCUAAGGUAGUAUUUCUUCAUGUAAUAUUUAAUAAAAGAUGAAUAACUGAAUUACUGCUUAUUUAAAAAACCCAACCACUUAUUAGAAUAAACUUAUUCUGUAGGGCCUUGUGAUGGAAGCUAUUGUUGGGAGUAAAUUGGAACUUAUUGACUUGGGUUAAAGCAAGCAAGCAUGUUUUAUUUAUAUAGCACAAACCAGGACCUUCAGCAUGCACUGGGACGGUUUGCAGCCGAGUGUGAAGCGGUGGGGAUGAGAAUCAGUACCUCCAAAUCCGAGGCCAUGGUCCUGUCGGAAAAGGGUGGCUUGCCCACUUCAGGUUGGUGGAGAGUGCCUGCCUCAAGUGGAGGAGUUUAAGUAUCUAGGGGUCUUGUUCACGAGUGAGGGAAGGAUGGAACGGGAGAUUGACAGACGGAUCGGUGCAGCUUCUGCAGUAAUGCGGUCGAUGUAUCGGUUUGGUCGUGGUGAAGAAAGAGCUGAGCCGCAAGGCGAAGCUCUUGAUUUACCGGUCAAUCUACGUUCCUACUCUCACCUAUGGUCAUGAGCUUUGGGUCAUGACCGAAAGGACAAGAUCCCGGAUACAGGUGGCCGAAAUGAGCUUUCUCCGCAGGGUGGCUGGGUGAUCCCUUAGAGAUAGGGUGAGAAGCUUGGUCUCCCGGGAGGAGCUCAAAGUAGAGUCGCUGCUCCGCCACAUCGAGAGGGGUCAGCUGAGGUGGCUUGGGCACCUGUUUCUAAUGCCUCUGGAACGCCUUCCUGGGAAGGUGUUCCGGUCCCGUCCCACUGGGA